UACGUAGGGUGCAAGCGUUGUCCGGAAUUAUUGGGCGUAAAGAGCUCGUAGGCGGUCUGUCGCGUCGGCUGUGAAAACCCGGGGCUCAACCCCGGGCCUGCAGUCGAUACGGGCAGACUAGAGUGCGGUAGGGGAGACUGGAAUUCCUGGUGUAGCGGUGAAAUGCGCAGAUAUCAGGAGGAACACCGGUGGCGAAGGCGGUUCUCUGGGCAUUACCUGACGCUGAGGAGCGAAAGCGUGGGGAGCAAACAGG
rnacentral:rRNA from 1 species